rnacentral:rRNA from 1 species
AGGACGAACGCUUGCGGCGUGCCUAAGAAAUGCAAGUCGAGCGGGGGAAGCAAUUCCCUAGCGGCGAACGGUCGCGUAACACGUAGGCAACCUGCCCAAGAGACCGGGACAACACUUCGAAAGGGGUGCUAAUACCGGAUGCGGCUGCUUCCUCGCAUGGGGAAGCAACUAAAUCAUUUAUGGCUCUUGGAGGGGCCUGCGGCCUAUCAGCUAGAUGGUGGGGUAACGGCCUACCAUGGCGACGACGGGUAGCUGGUCUGAGAGGAUGGUCAGCCGGACUGGGACUGAGAUACGGCCCAGACUCCUACGGGGGGCAGCAAUUAGGAAUCUUGCGCAAUGGGGGCAACCCUGACGCAGCGACGCCGCGUGGAGGAGGAAGUCCUUGGGAUGUAAACUCUUUGACAAGGAAGAACAAAUGACGGUACUUAGUCGAAUAAGCCCGGCUAACGUACGCGCCAGCAGCCGC